rnacentral:rRNA from 1 species
ACUCAAAUGAAUUGACGGGGGCCCGCACAAGCAGCGGAGCGUGUGGUUUAAUUCGAUGAUACGCGAAGAACCUUACCUGGGUUUGACAUGUGGGUAGUAGGAAGGUGAAAGCCGACCGACCCUUCGGGGAGCCUACACAGGUGCUGCAUGGCUGUCGUCAGCUCGUGUCGUGAGAUGUUGGGUUAAGUCCCGCAACGAGCGCAACCCUCGUCGUUAGUUACAAGUGUCUAACGAGACUGCUGGUAUCAAACCGGAGGAAGGUGGGGAUGACGUCAAGUCAGCAUGGUCUUUAUAUCCAGGGCUACACACACGCUACAAUGGUCGGUACAAUGGGUUGCCACACCGCAAGGUGGCGCUAAUCCUCAAAGCCGGUCUCAGUUCAGAUUGCCGUCUGCAACCCGACGGCAUGAAGGCGGAGUUGCUAGUAACCGCGCGUCAGCCAUAGUGCGGUGAAUGCGUUCCCGGGCCUUGUACACACCGCCCGU